AGACAGGCAUGGCUCUGUCUCAGCUGUCACGAGCCUGGCGAGCAGGGACAGUUGCUUUGAUUGUGGUGAAGUUGGACAGUUUCUUCACAGGUCCCAGCGUGGGCCGGAGGAGACAGGCAAUAAGUGGGAGCUUCUCCCCUCAUGUCCUCAGAGGCCCAAGCGUGACUGGUCCGCAGCACAGCACCCCAGAGUCCCUCAGAGUGGGGGCGGGGGGGGGGUGCUGUGUCUGAGUUUCCUCAUGAAGAUGCUGCUAAGCUGCUAAGUCACUUCAGUCGUGUCCGACUUUGUGCAUCCCCAUAGAUGGCAGCCCACCAGGCUCCCCCGUCCCUGGGAUUCUCUAGGCAAGAACACUGGAGUGGGUUGCCAUUUCCUUCUCCAGUGCAUGAAAGUGUAAAGUGAAAGUGAAGUCGCUCAGUUGUGUCCGUCUCUUAGCGACCCCAUGGACUGCAGCCUACCAGGCUCCUCUGUACAUGGGAUUUUCCAGGCAAGAAUACUGGAGUCGGGUGCCAUCGCAAAGAUGGGCUUUGAGCAAAGAUCUGAGUAGUCAUGUGCAGAUGUGAGAGUUGGACCAUAAAGAAGGCUAAGUGCUAAAGGCUGAUGCUUUUGAACUGUGGUGCUGAAGAAGACUCUUGAGAGUCUCUGGAACUGCAAGGAGAUCCAACUAGUCACUCCUAAAGGAAAUCAGUCCUGAUACUCAUUGGAAGGACUGAUGCUGAAGCUGAAGCUCCAAUAUUUUGGCCACCUGAUGCGAAGAGCUGACUCAUAGGAAAAGACCAUUAUGUUGGGAAAGACUGAAGGCAAAAGGAGAAGAGGGUGGCAGAGGAUGAGACGGUUGGACAACAUCACUGACUCAAUGGACAUGAAUCUGAGCACUAUCUCUAGGAGAUAGUGGAGGACAGAGGAGCCUGGUGUGCUGGAGUCCAUGGGGUUGCAAAGAGCUGGACAGGACUUUAGCGACCGAACAACAGUAACAACACAUGACUGCCUGGCUCAGAGGCGCUCAGCAGACUUCUUCCCUGCCGAGUCGUCCGC
ensembl:lncRNA